GACACUUCCAUAUCAAAGAAAAGGCACAACAGGCUCGUGAGUGCAUGGAUGCAGCCAGUGUGACCAUAUAUGCAAAUUUUUUUACUAAAGCUGCUUAAAAUUGGUUGGCUGCCCCCUCCUGUUCUUAAUGUUGCAGUUGUUUAAAGCAGGUGGGGUUGUCUAAGGGCAUCCAACCGGAUCUGGUAAUAAAAUGUACUAAACCUGGUCACACUGGAUGCAGCCAGAGAGAAGCAUGGGUAUUCAAUUGCGUACAAAAGUGCAAAGCGAAAAAGAAAAAGUGGAAAAUCAAGUAUGUCCGCACAUGCAAGUCAAGCCAAGGAUGGUGAUUAUAAAACACUACACUGAUUAAUGAAAUCAGUGAUUCAGAUUCAGAAUAAAUGUGAGAGGAGCAAGAUUGAAAAACUGUUUGAUAUAUAAAACAUUUGUUAAUUGUUUUGUUUGUAUUCUUGAUUCCUAUAUUAAUAUAUAAACAACUAUAUACAUGUACAUAUAUUUAGAUAAUAUCUACUAUUGUUGUUGCUAUUUUAAAGUUGUUGUUGGUAUAUAAAAUGAAAAAUUAUCAUGUCUUUUGAUAAUAACAGAGUAUAUAUAUUUAAUAUAAAAAAUAUUAUAUUCGAGCUAUUCUGAUAUUCUCACAAGAACGUUUUAAUUCUAGUAGCCAAAUUUUAAAAUUUUCAAAAUUUUAUACCCCAUUCUGCUCGCACACUGUACGCUUUAUUUCUUUGCACAUGAUGGGGGAUCCAUGCAUGAGUUCCUGAAAAUUGUGUAUGUGUCAUGUGACAAUAUACCACUAGAGAUUUGAGGAAAUUUUAAAAAUAUUAAAAGCCAAAAAGCUAGCAUCUUCUCUCUGACGUCCGCACCACCGAUUAAGAGGUCCUCUUAAUCUGUGCUCGCACUCUAGAUUUCAGCGGUAAUCUUUGCCAAAGCCAGGUUUGCAACCACGUCUAACGCAUUUCACAUAUUUUUAUACGACUCUUCUAUUUAUAUUUAAAGUCUUUUAUUAAAGUCUUUCAAAUUGUUAUAAAAAUAAUAUUUAAUUAAAAGGUUAUAUAUUAUGGAUUCAGGUUAAUUUCUUCAAAAGCCUCUGCGAAGGAGAGACUUCUGACAAUCACGAGGGUGGAAACUUGGUUGAUGUGCUCGAUAUUUUUUUCGUGCGCAUUUGUCCUGCUCGAUAUUUUUUCGUAACAAUAAGUGCUUGCUCGAUUUUUUUUUUGAUUUACCCCCCCCCCCAUCAAAUAUCUAAUGGUCCGGCCCUUAUUUGGCCAAGCAUAAUCGUGGGCACGCGCGUGGAGCAGAAAGACGAUCUUUUGAAAAAUACAAAAUAAAUAUUUCUGCUUGCCGUAUACAAACGAAUCUUUCCACAAAUAAGCACUUGAAUACAAGCUAUAAUUUGGAUCUAAGGAUGUACGGGAAAUUCUUGAUCUUGGCGAUGUAUUUAACGAAUUCUUACAAACCAGUAGCAGAACUGAACAUGGCAAAAUGGUAAAUGUUCGAUAUUUUUGUUAGUGCAAUGUUUUGACGGCAUUAUACCCCCCGUUUGAAAGCUUAUUUUGUGAGGAUUCCAAUGGUAUAUGUCGUUUGGAAGGGGGGGGGGUGGGCGGUAAAUACUCGCGGAAAUAUUUUCUUAUAAACAAUUGAAUAUGUAAAAUUAAGAACGUUGCGCAACACAUUUUUGGUAAAGAUUGUAUAUGCAAACGGCAAAAUUCACAAGCUCAGGGCCGUAGCUAGACGCGAUAAUUCGGGGGUGUAUAUUCAUAAAUUCAUGCUCACAUAUGACACACUGUAAAAACAAUCGCUUACAAAAGAAAUCAGUCAGGCAGAUCGAACACGAAUAUAUGAAUAUACCCCAAUUAUCGCGUCUAGCUACGGCCCUGACAAGGUGAAGCAUAUAUACAGUAGUCAGUAGAUGCCAUAGGACUUGGUCAUAUAUCUAUCGAUCGCGAUGUCGCUUUGAAAACGAAAGGAGUACUGGCAUACUACAUACAAUGAUGCAAACUUACAUGCACUCAUAGUAGCUAUAUGCGUUUGUAAAAAUCUUCAAACAUGCAUCUAAGCGUAGGCCGCAAAUUAGUAGGAUAACAAACUGUGAAAGUCUUUAAUCUCGGCAGUCUAAGAGAUAACAAACUUCUCGACGUUUCCAGCUAAGGCCCUUCGAAUUCCUACUAGUUUGUGACGAAGGGCCUUUUGUUAUCUCUUACAGGCUGCCGAGACUCAAGACCCUUCCAGUUUGUUAUGUGCGUUAGUAGUUUGGCCGAUGAGCGACUGGAACGGGUCGCACGGAUGCUGAAUAGUGCUAUCCACUGGAUAACAAUCUUUUCAAGCUACACAUUGUUGCUCGUGGAUCGGUAUAACCUCAGCUAACGAGCUAACAGGCCGUAUUCACGCAGGCUGUAAAAAUUGCUACAUCCAGUGUAGCGCAAUCCAGCUUACGUACAAACCGUCCCGUGGAAUCUAAAUGAAAACGAUGAAAUAAAACACCAUCUUACCGCCGCCUGUUCGAUAAAUAAUAUGGAUUUUCGUCUUCUACUGCAGACGUCUUCGCUUGUUUUGUUUCCGGUUAGUUUAAUCAAAGAACACUUGGAGUGUUGAAACCCAUGGUUGAACCAGACACACUGCUAGUCGAAUGAGUUAUGUUGUCUUUGGAACACUUAUUAGCUUUGCUGGAAUAAGCAUUGUCGUGUUGGAUUCUGAUUGGUGAUAGUUGUACUUUUUCAUUUCCGAUUGCUUAUGCAUUGUAAACAAGAUUAGCUAUAUU